rnacentral:rRNA from 1 species
UAAAAAGCUCGUAGUUGGAUCUGUGUAUCGGACGGUCGGUUCGUCGCUCGCGGCGUUUAACUGACCGGUCCGGACGUCCUGCCGGUGGGCGCGCGCGGGGGGUUCACGCCUCUCGCGUCGCCCGUUAACCUUCCCUCCGGGCUUGCUCUUAACCGAGCGGCGCGGUGGGCCGGCACGUUUACUUUGAACAAAUUUGAGUGCUCAAAGCAGGCCUCGAGUCGCCUGAAAACUGUGUGCAUGGAAUAAUGGAAUAGGGCCUCUUUUCUAUUUUGUUGGCUUUUCUGAAAUAGAGGUAAUGAUUAAUAGGGACAGACGGGGGCAUUCGUAUUGCGACGUUAGAGGUGAAAUUCUUGGAUCGUCGCAAGACGGACGGAUGCGAAAGCGUUUGCCAAGAAUGUUUUCGCUAAUCAAGAACGAAAGUUAGAGGUUCGAAGGCGAUCAGAUACCGCCCUAGUUCUAACCAUAAACGAUGCCAGCCAGCGAUGCGCCGACGUUCCUCCGAUGACUCGGCGCGCAGCUUCCGGGAAACCAAAGCUUUUGGGUUCCGGGG